GACGAACGCUGGAGGCGUGCUUAACACAUGCAAGUCGAACGAUGAAAUGGAGCCUGCUCCAUGGAUUAGUGGCGAACGGGUGAGUAACACGUGAAUAACCUGCCCUUAAUUUUGGAAUAACCCAGGGAAACCUGGGCUAAUACCGGAUAAGUAAACCUGUGGCAUCACAUGGUUUUGGAAAGUUUUUCGAUUAAGGAUGGAUUCGCGGCCUAUCAGCUUGUUGGUGAGGUAAUGGCUCACCAAGGCGACGACGGGUAGCCGGCCUGAGAGGGUGAACGGCUACACUGGGACUGAGACACGGCCCAGACUCCUACGGGAGGCAGCAGUGGGGAAUAUUGCGCAAUGGACGAAAGUCUGACGCAGCGACGCCUCGUGAGGGACGAAGGUCUUCGGAUUGUAAACCUCUUUCAGCAGGGACGAAGCGAAAGUGACGGUACCUGCAGAAGAAGCACCGGCUAACUAUGUGCCAGCAGCCGCAGUAA
rnacentral:rRNA from 1 species